rnacentral:rRNA from 1 species
UUAGCGGCGAACGGGUGAGGAACACGUGAGGAAUCUGCCUUCAACACUGGGAUAACUCCGGGAAACCGGGGCUAAUACCGGAUACGAGCCUUGAUCGCAUGAUCGAGGCUGGAAAGUUUUUCGGUUGAAGAUGACCUCGCGGCCUAUCAGCUUGUUGGUGAGGUAAUGGCUCACCAAGGCGACGACGGGUAGCCGGCCUGAGAGGGCGACCGGCCACACUGGGACUGAGACACGGCCCAGACUCCUACGGGAGGCAGCAGUGGGGAAUAUUGGGCAAUGGAGGAAACUCUGACCCAGCGACGCCGCGUGCGGGAUGAAGGCCUUCGGGUUGUAAACCGCUUUCAGUAGGGAAGAAGCGAAAGUGACGGUACCUACAGAAGAAGCACCGGCUAACUAUGUGCCAGCAGCCGCGGUAAUACAUAGGGUGCAAGCGUUGUCCGGAAUUAUUGGGCGUAAAGAGCUCGUAGGUGGUUUGAUACGUCGGGUGUGAAAUUCAGGGGCU